AUUCUUAAUCAAGAUGAUGAAGUUUGAGGGUAGAUAAGAUUGUUAAGAGGGUGGUGGUGGAGAAGAGAACCUAGCUGAAGGAAAACUUUGAGGAAUACUGAGUUAGGAUAUCCAAUAAAAAAGAUUCUUCUGCAAAAUAGAGGAUCAGAAAAAAAAGCUAAAAAGGAAGUUGCAGUAACAGCCCUCAAUUCAGCUGAAGGCCAGAGAAAGCGUGGACAACUCAAGAGACUCUGGUAAUUAAUGAGUCAUCAAGAAAUCACCAAUGAGCAGCUUCGGUUAGUUUGGGGUGGAGAGUGGAAGUCAAGAUGCAAAAGAGUUGGAGUCAGUGGGUGAUGAAGAAUUAGCAACAAGCCGUGAAGGAAACUCUUUCUAUCAUUUGGGUAGGAAAAGAAUAGAGAGGGCUCAGCUGAAACAGCACUGAUGAACAUAGAUGGAAUGUCACAGCAGCAGAUGUAUUUUUAGACGUCUUUAAAUGAAUGGAAUUUCAUGAAGACAAGGUAACUUCCUGAAACUUCAACCCAAGUUAUUUCUGUCUUGCUACUUUGAAAGGGCAUAAGGGCCCACAAAGCAGAGACAAGAAGGAACGAACAACAAAGGUGGAAAGUAAGCCCUUGUACGUAGGAGGCAGGCUGCAUGGAGCAUGAGAUCCUGUGGCAGGAGGUAUGGAUGUGAAUCAAAAUUGUAUAGCAGUGUUUUUCCCUAAGAAAAAGGGUUCAGUGAAACAGACCAACCUAUCAUUGAAAGUGACAUAAAUGCUGAAUGAAAGGCGUCAUGACUUUGGUAAUCUCCCUCCUUACUGAGUCUCCGCCUUCCCCUUCUAUAUGCAACCAUUUUUAAGAGAAAAUUUUGGCAUCAGCAAGCAGUCCAGAUUAGGAGGAGGAAGGAAAGGGACUUCCCUUCAAACCUCACUGGAACUAUUUAUCGGAUCUUAAAGGGAGACUGAUUUGCUCCCUUAAUGAGAGCAAGCACAGCUCUGAGUCUCUCUCCAUAUGAGGUACAACAGAUUUUUCCAAGACAGAUUGACUUUCUCACAGCUGGAAGAAUACUCAGGUUUGCAUAAAUGGUCAACAUUCUCCGAAUCACCACAGCAGAGAGAUGAAGAAGAACAAUGGAGUCUUUUUUGUGGCCUUUGCUAGAGAAGGCACUAAGCAUCCCAUUUCACCAAGACAGACGAUCGUUUCACUGAAGACAUGCAAAAGAAAGACUGUGCCAUCGAUUCUAAGGAGAAUUCCAAAACAUUCUGAGCAUGGUGUUUAUGCUACUCAUUCAGACAUUUGGUCUCAUUUGAAAAAGGAAAUCUCAUUGUUUAGGAAUUAGAGCUCAGAUACGUUUAAAU